UACGUAGGUGACGAGCGUUGUCCGGAUUUACUGGGCGUAAAGAGCGCGCAGGCGGUCGUUCAAGUCGAGUGUGAAAGCCCCCGGCUCAACUGGGGAGGGUCACUCGAUACUGAUCGACUCGAAGGCAGGAGAGGGUAGUGGAAUUCCCGGUGUAGUGGUGAAAUGCGUAGAUAUCGGGAGGAACACCAGUGGCGAAGGCGACUACCUGGCCUGUUCCUGACGCUGAGGCGCGAAAGCUAGGGGAGCAAACGGG
rnacentral:rRNA from 1 species